UUUGCUAAUAUUCAAGCAGUCUAUCGGUUUUUGACUGUUGGAAUAUAAACAACUAUAAGCAUAUACCAUAAACCUAUACGGAUGUCCUUCGACUGCUCCCCGAAAUCCUUUUCGUCCCAGCCGACAGGUCCUUAGACGUUAUAGAGAACCUCAAAUAAUCCAAACUGCUAAUCUUUGAUACCUCUUUAUACUCACAAUCUUGUAUGCACUAACUGUCUCAUUAGAUUAACUCAAUAAAUUUCAUUCACUCCGCAUACUCAAUCCUAUAGACACCCUUUUAAUUCUUCAUUACAGACGUAACUUGAUUUCACAAAACAAUCAAGAGUAAUCACACCAACUUCAUUAAAAUCUCGAUUCAUCAAUACAACACUGACUUCAACAACGAUUGCCUCAGUCUUCCCAAAACCCUAUGAAGAAAAAAAACCCAAUUCUCUGACUUUU
rnacentral:lncRNA from 1 species